GAAAUGCGAUAAGUAGUGUGAAUUGCAGAAUUCAGUGAAUCAUCGAAUCUUUGAACGCACAUUGCACCUCUCGGUAUUCCGGGAGGUAUGCCUGUUCGAGCGUCAUUUGUACCCUCAAGCUCUGCUUGGUGUUGGGUGUUUGUUCCGCCUCUGUGCGUGGACUCGCCUCAAAACAAUUGGCAGCCGGCGUACUUUUUUCGGAGCGCAGCAGAUUUUUGCGCCCUGGAUCAACGUACAGCGGCAUCCAAGAAGCCUUAUUUUAACGCUCUUGACCUCGGAUCAGGUAGGGAUACCCGCUGAACUUAA
rnacentral:misc_RNA from 1 species